rnacentral:tRNA from 1 species
GGAGGGCUGACAGAGCGGCCGAAUGUGACGGUCUUGAAAACCGUUGUUGCGCAAGCAACCGGGGGUUCGAAUCCCCCGCCCUCCGCCA